GUCUUUUUGUAUUUUAUUUAAAGUUUAACCUGCCCAAUGAUUUUAAAUGGCUGCAGUAUUUUGACUGUACAAAGGUAGCAUAAUCAUUAGUUUUUUAAUUAAGAACUAGAAUGAAAGGUUGGACAAAAAAUUGGUUGUUUCUAAUUAAUUAUUUAAAAUUUUAUUUUUAAGUUAAAAAGCUUAAAUGAUUUUAAAAGACGAGAAGACCCUAUAGAGUUUAAUUAUUUAAAAUUUAAAUUUAUUAUAAAAAAAAAUUAGAUAUAAUUUAGUUGGGGUGAUUUAAAAAUUUAAGUGACUUUUUGUUAAUUUAUAACAUUAAUUUAUGAAUAAUUGAUCCAUUUAAAAUGAUUAAAAGAAUAAAUUACCUUAGGGAUAACAGCGUUAUUUCUUUUUAGAGUCCAAAUCAAUAAAGAAGAUUGCGACCUCGAUGUUGGAUUAAAAUAUAUUUUUGGUGUAGAAGCUAAGAAAUUAAGUCUGUUCGACUUUUUAAAUUUUACAUGAUCUGAGUUUAAACCGGUGUGAGCCAGGUUGGUUUCUAUCUUUAAUUAUAAAGAAUAUAAUUUAGUACGAAAGGACCAAUUAUUAUAAAUAAUUUAUUUAAAUAGAAUAUUAUU
rnacentral:rRNA from 1 species